rnacentral:piRNA from 1 species
UUGUGCUAAAUGGAUUCCUCCUUC